UACGUAGGGGGCAAGCGUUGUCCGGAUUCAUUGGGCGUAAAGGGCUCGUAGGCGGUUUGUCGCGUCGGGAGUGAAAACUCAGGGCUUAACCCUGAGCCUGCUUCCGAUACGGGCAGACUAGAGGUAUGCAGGGGAGAAUGGAAUUCCUGGUGUAGCGGUGAAAUGCGCAGAUAUCAGGAGGAACACCGGUGGCGAAGGCGGUUCUCUGGGCAUUACCUGACGCUGAGGAGCGAAAGCGUGGGGAGCGAACAGG
rnacentral:rRNA from 1 species